AAUAUUUCCAUUUCAUUCUGUUGAAGUAUCCAGCAGCAGCAGUACAGCACAAGUCAGCUGUGUAUUGGUUUCUGCUCGACUUUCACCACAGAAACUGUCAUCCAAACGCAAGGAAAAGAAGUGUUCAGUGCAUGGAUUGACUCUCUCUGGAGUUGCUGAAGGACAGACUGAAGGUGCUGCCGAGUCUCUUACUGACGCCGCUGUUUCUCCAACUCCAGCCCCACACAGAUGAUGAAGAUCCUCCGUAUUCACGGCCUGCUCUCCUCUGACUGCCCGACUGAUAAUCCUGCUCUCCGCUGGGGGACAGAUUCAUCCUCCUCUCCACCUACAGGAACAGUAUUCACUGAGAUGCAUAGUAGGGCUGCACAAUACUGAACAUAAACACAUCCAUUUCCCCUAACAUUUGAGCACUGUUAAGGGUUCUUAAACAGCGCUGAUUGGCCAUUUUGUUCACACGCUCAACAGAAAUGACUGCGAUUGGCCGUGAAGGUCAUCAGUUCACCAAACUCACAGCUGUUUAACCACAGUUUCAGGGACACUGGAGCAUUUUGAAGUCUUGUCAGUCAGCUGGUUUGUCUAUAAGCUGACAUAUGAGUGAUCCGCUGAUGAAUCGCAGCUUUAAAACGCUCCAGUGUCCCUGUAUCUGUGUGCAUAAUUUUUUUUACAGGUGUGUGUGUACCUCAUGUGUCUGCAGUGUGAUGAUGUCCAGCUCUAGUCCUCUGUCUGGACAGCUCUUCAGCGCAUGAACCACCUCUGCAUGUUCAGCCCAUCUGCAGUCCACAGAGUUCACAGCCACUAUAUAAUCCCCCUCACGUAGCCCUCCCUCCUAAAACACACACACACACACACACACACACACACACACACACACACACACACUUUGGAUCACAUCCCACACACGACCCGCAUAUUAAAAGCUUUUUUAAAACACUACUCCUAAAUUUGGAUGGGUCGCUGAAAGAUCGCCUCCCGCAUCAAUUAAAUUGCACACAAAAGUAAUUUGGCUUCCCUGUAAAAUUUAAUGAUGAUGAAGAAAUUGUGAAGGCACCUCCAUGCUUUCUUAGGUUAUUAAAGGUGUUUUCUGUCACUGCUUUUUCAGCAACGCAUGUAGUGUAAAGCUGUACAAUUAAUCAUCAAAAUAUGGGGAUCUCAAUUCAAACACCUACGCAACAUAAAUUAUCUCCGUCAUUCUGCGCUGAUCAAGAAAAACUGACGGAAAGAUCCGUUUUUACCCUUUUCAAUAAGUUACAAAAGGUACAAUAACAAAAAAACAGAAGUAGUGUGAGCAGUUUAUAGUUUAGGUAUAAACAGUGAUGUUUACAGUACAGAUUAACAUUUAACGCAACUUGACGCUCAAAACCGAAGUUGUGCCAAUUACAUUGUUUAACCAAUAGAUGGCAAAAACCAGCCAUCUAAAAUGUGUCACUGAAUAAUUCUUCACAAAUGACACAUGUAGUAAUGAUACAGUGCAUGCGGAAAGUCGAUACAGUUGAUAGCGAUUCACUUUCUUCACAUUUGUUUAUGUUACAGCCUUAUUCCAAAAUAGAUUAAAUUCAUUGAUUUCC
ensembl:lincRNA